UACGUAGGGUCCGAGCGUUGUCCGGAAUUACUGGGCGUAAAGCGCACGCAGGUGGCUGAGUUAGUCGAUUGUGAAAGCCCUGGGCUUAACCUGGGAAUUGCAGUCGAUACUGCUCGGCUAGAGUGUGGGGAGAGGGAAGUGGAAAUUCCCGGUGUAGCGGUGAAAUGCGUAGAUAUUAGGAAGAACACCGGUGGCGAAGGCGGCCCCACUGGAUCGGUACUGACGUGAGGUGCGAAAAGCGUGGGGGGAGCAAAACAGG
rnacentral:rRNA from 1 species